GUCAAAUGACUAAGGCAAACGGCGGAUACCUAGGCACUUGGAGCGAUAAAGGGCGCAGGAACUGGCGAUACGCUUUGGGGAGCCAGUAACAGGCAUUGAUCCAGAGAUUCCCGAUGAGAAAACUCUAAAUACUACCAACCGAAUUCAUACGUUGGUAGAGAUAACCCAGUGAAUUGAAACAUCUUAGUAGCUGGUGGAAAAGAAAGCAAAAGCGAUUCCCGUAGUAGCGGCGAGCGAACCGGGAACAGCCUAAACCGUUCUUCAGGAGCGGUGUAGUGGGAAGAGCAAUAAACAUAAAACAACUUGAAUUAGACGAAGCAGCUGAAUCCUGUACCAUAGACGGUGAAAGUCCGGUAGUCAAAAAAGUUCUCAACGCUCGAAAUAUCCCAAGUAGCAUGGGGCACGUGGAAUCCCGUGUGAAUCAGCGAGGACCACCUCGUAAGGCUAAAUACUCCCAAGUGACCGAUAGCGAAAUAGUACUGCGUAGGAACGGUGAAUAAGAACCCCGGGAGGGGAGUGAAAUAGAACAUGAAACCGUUUGCUGACAAGCAGUGAGAGGGCAUCUAUGCCUGAUCGCGUGCCUGUUGAAGAAUGACCCAGCGACUUCUAUAGCGUGGCAGGGUUAAGGAGUUAAAUCUGUAGCCCAAGCGAAAGCGAGUCUGAAUAGGGCGAUCACGUCAUUAUGUAGAGACCCGAACCCGGUUGAUCUAACCAUGGCCAAGUUGAAACUACGGUAACACUUAGUGGAGGACUGAACUCACCGAUGUUGAAAAAUCGGGAGAUGAGCUGUGGUUAGGGCUGAAAUUGCAAUCGAAAUCGGAGCUAGCUGGUUCUCCCCGAAAUGCGUUGAGGCGCAGCGGCGAAAAGUACUAUCGUGGGGUAAAGCACUGUUUCGAUGCGGGCUGCGAGAGCGGUACCAACUCGUCGCAAACUCAGAAUACACGGUAUGUAGACUAUGAGCCAGUGAGACUCUGGAAGAUAAGUCCCAGUGUCAAGAGGGAAACAGCCCAGAUCACUAGCUAAGGCCCCAAAACGAUUACUAAGUGGUAAAGGAUGUGAGAAUGCUGAGACAAUUAGGAGGUUCGCUUAGUAGCAGCUAACCUUAAAAGAGUGCGUAAUAGCUCACUAAUAUAGCGUUUUUGCGCCGACAAUGGCCGGGACUAAGUAAUCUGCCGAAGCUGUGGGAUUUUUGAAUACACUCGAUGUAUUCAUGAUCGGUAGGGGAGCGUUGUAUCGCGGGUGAAGUUUUGGCGUAAGCCAAGGUGGACGUUAUACAAGUGAGAAUGUUGGGUUGAGUAACGAAAACAUUGGUUAGAAUCCAAUGCCCCGAAAACCUAAGGGUUUCUCCACUAGGUUCGUCCAUGUAGAGUGAGUCAGGGCCUAAGAUGAGGCCGAACGGCGUAGUCGAUGGAAAACAGGUUAAUAUUCCUGUACUAAUUAGAUGUUGGACUGGCGGACGAAGGAGGCUAAAUUGUAGCUGUGUAUGGAAUGCAGCGUAAGCGUUCGAGGUUAUGAGAAGUCGAAAAGAAACGAACUUUGAGCUGAGACGUUAUACCGGCAGCACCGCUCGCGGCGCUGUUCGUCAAUGAUGUCAUACUUCCAAGAAAAUGCCAUACUCCGUUAACAUUUAAUUACCUGUACCUGAAACCGACACAGGUAGGUUGGUAGAGUAUACUAAGGGGCGCGAGAGAACUCUCUCCAAGGAACUCGGCAAAUUAACCCCGUAACUUCGGAACAAGGGGUACCCAUUUAUAUGGGUCGCAGUGACCAGGUCCAUGCGACUGUUUACCAAAAACACAGGUCUCCGCUAAGUCGAAAGACAAAAUAUGGGGGCUGACACCUGCCCAGUGCCAGAAGGUAAAGGAAGUUGGUUAGAGGUUUCUCGAAGCUGACGACCGAAGCCCUGGUGAACGGCGGUCGUAACUAUAACGAUCCUAAGGUAGCGAAAUUCAUUGGCAGGUAAAUUCUGUCCCGCACGAAAGGUGUAACGAUAUGGACACUGUCUCAGAGAGAGGCUCGGUGAAAUAGACUUGUCCGUGAAGAUGCGGACUACCAUCACCUGGACAGAAAGACCCUGUGCAGUUUGACUGUAACUUGGAAUUGGGUUCGGGCUUUUCUUGCGCAGCCUAGGUGGGAGGCGUUGAAGGUUUCCUUCUGGGGAAGCUGGAGCCAUCAUUGAGAGACCACUCUGGAAUAGCUCUUUCCCUUAACCGCUUUCGUUUAUCACGAAGCGGGACAUUUUCAGGCGGGCAGUUUUUCUGGGGCGGAAAACUCCUAAAGAGUAACGGAGUUGUACAAAGGUUCCCUCAGCCUGGACGGAAAUCAGGCAUGGAGUGCAAAGGCAGAAGGGAGCUUGACUGUAAGACCGACAAGUCGAGCAGAGGCGAAAGCCGGUCUUAGUGAUCCGACGGUGCCGUGUGGAAGGGCCGUCGCUCAACGGAUAAAAAUUACGCCAGGGAUAACAGGCUGAUCUUCCCCAAGAGUUCACAUCGACGGGAAGGUUUGGCACCUCGAUGUCGGCUCAUCGCAUCCUCGGGCUGUAGUAGGUCCGAAGGGUUGGGCUGUUCGCCCAUUAAAGCGGUACGUGAGCUGGGUUCAAAACGUCGUGAGACAGUUUGGUCCAUAUCCUGUGAUGGCGCUAGAGUAUUGAGGUGAGCUGCUCCUAGUACGAGAGGACCGGUAGUGGACGGACCAAUGGUGUACCAGUUAUCACUCCAGUGGUAAACGCUGGGUAGCUACGUCCGGCAAGAAGAAGAACUGAAAGCAUCUAAGUUCGAAAUUAACACCAAGAUGAGUACUCUCCAUUAGGCCGCGAGAAGACCACUCGUUUGAUAGGUAUCAGGUGUAAAGCUAGCAAUAGCAAAGCCGAGAUAUACUAAAGGCCAAUUGACUUUGAC
rnacentral:rRNA from 1 species